AUUGAACGCUGGCGGCAGGCCUAACACAUGCAAGUCGAACGGUAACAGGAAGCAGCUUGCUGCUUAGCUGACGAGUGGCGGACGGGUGAGUAAUGUCUGGGAAACUGCCUGAUGGAGGGGGAUAACUACUGGAAACGGUAGCUAAUACCGCAUAACGUCGCAAGACCAAAGAGGGGGACCUUAGGGCCUCUUGCCAUCGGAUGUGCCCAGAUGGGAUUAGCUAGUAGGUGGGGUAACGGCUCACCUAGGCGACGAUCCCUAGCUGGUCUGAGAGGAUGACCAGCCACACUGGAACUGAGACACGGUCCAGACUCCUACGGGAGGCAGCAGUGGGGAAUAUUGCACAAUGGGCGCAAGCCUGAUGCAGCCAUGCCGCGUGUAUGAAGAAGGCCUUCGGGUUGUAAAGUACUUUCAGCGGGGAGGAAGGGAGUAAAGUUAAUACCUUUGCUCAUUGACGUUACCCGCAGAAGAAGCGCCGGCUAACUCCGUG
rnacentral:rRNA from 1 species